rnacentral:rRNA from 1 species
AGGACGAACGCUGGCGGCGUGCCUAACACAUGCAAGUCGAACGCGCUCCAUUCGGUAGCAAUACUGAUGAAGAGUGAGUGGCGAACGGGUGAGUAACACAUGAGCAACCUGCCCCGAAGACCGGGACAACACCGGGAAACCGGUGCUAAUACCGGAUAUCCCUAUCGGACCGCAUGAUCUGAUAAGGAAAUGGAUUCCGCUUCGGGAGGGGCUCGUGGCCUAUCAGCUAGUUGGUGAGGUAACGGCUCACCAAGGCAUCGACGGGUAGCUGGUCUGAGAGGACGAUCAGCCACACUGGGACUGAGACACGGCCCAGACUCCUACGGGAGGCAGCAGUGGGGAAUCUUGCGCAAUGGGCGAAAGCCUGACGCAGCAACGCCGCGUGGAGGACGAAGGCUUUCUGAGUUGUAAACUCCUUUCAGCAGGGACGAUAGUGACGGUACCUGCAGAAGAAGCACCGGCCAACUACGCGCCAGCAGCCGA